GGGGCUGAUUCUGGAUUCGACGGGAUUUGCGAAACCCAAGGUGCAUGCCGAGGGGCGGUUGGCCUCGUAAAAAGCCGCAAAAAAAUAGUCGCAAACGACGAAAACUACGCUUUAGCAGCUUAAUAACCUGCUUAGAGCCCUCUCUCCCUAGCCUCCGCUCUUAGGACGGGGAUCAAGAGAGGUCAAACCCAAAAGAGAUCGCGCGGAUGCCCUGCCUGGGGUUGAGGCGUUAAAACGAAUCAGGCUAGUCUGGUAGUGGCGUGUCCGUCCGCAGGUGCCAGGCGAAUGUAAAGACUGACUAAGCAUGUAGUACCGAGGAUGUAAGAAUUUCGGACGCGGGUUCAACUCCCGCCAGCUCCACCA
rnacentral:tmRNA from 1 species